rnacentral:rRNA from 1 species
UACGGAAGGCAGCAGUGGGGAAUAUUGCACAAUGGGCGCAAGCCUGAUGCAGCCAUGCCGCGUGUAUGAAGAAGGCCUUCGGGUUGUAAAGUACUUUCAGCGGGGAGGAAGGCGAUGCGGUUAAUAACCGCGUCGAUUGACGUUACCCGCAGAAGAAGCACCGGCUAACUCCGUGCCAGCAGCCGCGGUAAUACGGAGGGUGCAAGCGUUAAUCGGAAUUACUGGGCGUAAAGCGCACGCAGGCGGUCUGUUAAGUCAGAUGUGAAAUCCCCGGGCUUAACCUGGGAACUGCAUUUUGAAACUGGCAGGCUUGAGUCUGUAGAGGGGGUGAAUUCCAGGUGUAGCGGUGAAAUGCGUAGAGAUCUGGAGGAAUCCGGUGGCGAAGGCGGCCCCUGGGACAAAGCUGACGCUCAGGGU